CCUACGGGCGGCAGCAGUGGGGGAUAUUGCACAAUGGGGGGAACCCUGAUGCAGCGACGCCGCGUGGGCGAAGAAGCCCCUCGGCGCGUAAAGCCCUGUCAGCAGGGAAGAAAAUGACGGUACCUGAAGAAGAAGCCCCGGCUAACUACGUGCCAGCAGCCGCGGUAAUACGUAGGGGGCAAGCGUUAUCCGGAUUUACUGGGGGUAAAGGGGGCGCAGACGGGGUUGUAAGCCAGGAGUGAAAGCCCGAGGCCUAACCCCGAGAAUGCUUUUGGAACUGGGUGCCUGGAGUGCAGGAGGGGAGGGCGGAAUUCCUGGUGUAGCGGUGAAAUGCGUAGAUAUCAGGAGGAACACCAGUGGCGAAGGCGGCCUUCUGGACUGCAACUGACGUUGAGGCCCGAAAGCGUGGGGAGCAAACAGGAUUAGAUACCCGGGUAGUC
rnacentral:rRNA from 1 species